AGGUCGACAUCAUAUAGCUCUAGUUUAUCAACCUAGUAUUAUUUAGCGUUUGGGCAAUCAUUAUUGAUGAGAUACACAAAAUAUUUGCCGUCUUCUCAUUGGCAGCAUACAUUUUGGCUAGCUUUUUGGGGGCACGCCCAUCAUUACUCUCUCUCUUCCACCAAGGAAGAUGGUGUGAACGAUACUGGAAGCAAAUGUGGGGAAGAGGCAUCGUAUAUCCAAUAAAUUAAAUAACAAGAAAGC
rnacentral:lncRNA from 1 species